rnacentral:misc_RNA from 1 species
CAGGAGGUCGAUUUUCAUCACCAACAUAUUGGGUGUUGUUACCAGGUAUGUGAAAACUUAUCUCCAUCAAUGAAUCUUUCUCAUUAGCUCCAGUUGUAUCAUCCACAUGGAACUCCAAGAUAACAUCAUUUUUUCCCUGUAGCUGCGUUUGUGAGACAUCUGCUAAAGAUAACUCAAAUGCUUGCUUUGAACCAACCAGAAAGGUAAGCAUAUUUCCAUUUAAAUCAACCUCUCCCCAAUUACGGCCACUAACUGAAAGUUGCUUCUC